rnacentral:rRNA from 1 species
CGUGUAGGCGGUUUAAUAAGUCAGAUGUAAGAGCCCCCGGCUCAACCGGGGAUGGUCAUUUGAAACUGUUAGGCUUGAGUGCGAGAGAGGGUAGUGGAAUUCCCAGUGUAGCGGUGAAAUGCGUAGAUAUUGGGAAGAACACCAGUAGCGAAGGCGGCUACCUGGCUCGCAACUGACGCUGAGGCGCGAAAGCGUGGGGAGCAAACA